rnacentral:rRNA from 1 species
AACGAACGCUGGCGGCAGGCUUAACACAUGCAAGUCGAGCGCCCCGCAAGGGGAGCGGCAGACGGGUGAGUAACGCGUGGGAAUCUACCCUGAUCUGCGGAAUAGCUCCGGGAAACUGGAAUUAAUACCGCAUAUGCCCUGAGGGGCAAAGGUUGAUCCCGAUUGGGAUGAGCCCGCGUUGGAUUAGCUAGUUGGUGGGGUAAAGGCCUACCAAGGCGACGGUCCAUAGCUGGUCUAAGAGGAUGAUCAGCCACAUUGGGACUGAGACACGGCCCAAACUCCUACGGGAGGCAGCAGUGGGGAAUAUUGGACAAUGGGCGCAAGCCUGAUCCAGCCAUGCCGCGUGAGUGAUGAAGGCCCUAGGGUUGUAAAGCUCUUUCACCGAGGACGAUAAUGACGGUACCCGGAGAAGAAGCCCCGGCUAACUUCGUGCCAGCCGCCGCCGUAA